UAAGUAAGCUUUGAUCCAGAGAUUUCCGAAUGGGGAAACCCAGCAUGAGUUAUGUCAUGUUAUCGAUAUGUGAAUACAUAGCAUAUCAGAAGGCACACCCGGAGAACUGAAACAUCUUAGUACCCGGAGGAAGAGAAAGAAAAUUCGAUUCCCUUAGUAGCGGCGAGCGAAACGGGAAGAGCCCAAACCAACAAGCUUGCUUGUUGGGGUUGUAGGACACUCUAUACGGAGUUACAAAGGACGACAUUAGACGAAUCAUCUGGAAAGAUGAAUCAAAGAAGGUAAUAAUCCUGUAGUCGAAAAUGUUGUCUCUCUUGAGUGGAUCCUGAGUACGACGGAGCACGUGAAAUUCCGUCGGAAUCUGGGAGGACCAUCUCCUAAGGCUAAAUACUCUCUAGUGACCGAUAGUGAACCAGUACCGUGAGGGAAAGGUGAAAAGCACCCCGGAAGGGGAGUGAAAUAGAACCUGAAACCGUGUGCUUACAAGUAGUCAGAGCCCGUUAAUGGGUGAUGGCGUGCCUUUUGUAGAAUGAACCGGCGAGUUACGAUUUGAUGCAAGGUUAAGCAGUAAAUGUGGAGCCGUAGCGAAAGCGAGUCUGAAUAGGGCGUUUAGUAUUUGGUCGUAGACCCGAAACCAGGUGAUCUACCCUUGGUCAGGUUGAAGUUCAGGUAACACUGAAUGGAGGACCGAACCGACUUACGUUGAAAAGUGAGCGGAUGAACUGAGGGUAGCGGAGAAAUUCCAAUCGAACCUGGAGAUAGCUGGUUCUCUCCGAAAUAGCUUUAGGGCUAGCCUCAAGUGAUGAUUAUUGGAGGUAGAGCACUGUUUGGACGAGGGGCCCCUCUCGGGUUACCGAAUUCAGACAAACUCCGAAUGCCAAUUAAUUUAACUUGGGAGUCAGAACAUGGGUGAUAAGGUCCGUGUUCGAAAGGGAAACAGCCCAGACCACCAGCUAAGGUCCCAAAAUAUAUGUUAAGUGGAAAAGGAUGUGGCGUUGCCCAGACAACUAGGAUGUUGGCUUAGAAGCAGCCAUCAUUUAAAGAGUGCGUAAUAGCUCACUAGUCGAGUGACACUGCGCCGAAAAUGUACCGGGGCUAAACAUAUUACCGAAGCUGUGGAUUGUCCUUUGGACAAUGGUAGGAGAGCGUUCUAAGGGCGUUGAAGCAUGAUCGUAAGGACAUGUGGAGCGCUUAGAAG
rnacentral:rRNA from 1 species